UAUUUUCACAUUACCUGGCAUGAUUGCAGUAAAAUAAACAUUUAAAGAUUCUCCACCUAAUUAUAAUAGAAAUGGUUAUAAUUAAAUUUCUCAUGUGAACGGAGCUGGAUAUAAAUAAAAUUAUUAAGCAGCAUUUCCGACAUGCCAAGGACAUUGUGUCUAAAAGCGCUCAAAGACCUUAUAGAAAAAAUAAAUGCAAAAUAGUUGCCGAAGUCACUCCUGGAAGUGUCGCCGAAGUGAAUCCGAGAAGUGCCGGGACGGGAGUGACUUCCGCGAUCCGAAUGCGAUAUCGCGGAAGAUGCAAAAGCCAUGAAUUGUUUUUCCACAAUUCUGGACGUUUCUUUCGUAUUGCUUCUCGCAAACGGCGCAUAAGUUCCAGAUAAUACUGUUUAUUGACCGUACGACCAUAUGGAACAUCGGCAACGUGAAAAACGAAAAAAACUCCAUUUCAAGUCCCAAGCGCAUCGAACCAAUUUCAAUAGUUUGGAAUUAAACAUUUUGAAGCUACUGCAAAGCAGUACCUUUGCGUGCCAGCCACAUCAACUGCAUCCGAGAGGGCCUUCAGCAAAAGCGGAAAAAUUAUAAGUAACCAAAGAAGCUUCCU